rnacentral:rRNA from 1 species
GUAACGCGUGGGAACGUGCCCUUUGCUACGGAAUAGUCCCGGGAAACUGGGUUUAAUACCGUAUGUGCCCUUCGGGGGAAAGAUUUAUCGGCAAAGGAUCGGCCCGCGUUGGAUUAGGUAGUUGGUGGGGUAAUGGCCUACCAAGCCGACGAUCCAUAGCUGGUUUGAGAGGAUGAUCAGCCACACUGGGACUGAGACACGGCCCACACUCCUACGGGAGGCAGCAGUGGGGAAUCUUAGACAAUGGGGGCAACCCUGAUCUAGCCGUGCCGCGUGAGUGAUGAAGGCCUUAGGGUUGUAAAGCUCUUUCAGCUGGGAAGAUAAUGACGGUACCAGCAGAAGAAGCCCCGGCUAACUCCGUGCCAGCAGCCGCGGUAAUACGGAGGGGGCUAGCGUUGUUCGGAAUUACUGGGCGUAAAGCGCACGUAGGCGGACUGGAAAGUUGGGGGUGAAAUCCCGGGGCUCAACCUCGGAACUGCCUUCAAACUAUCAGUCUGGAGUUCGAGAGAGGUGAGUGGAAUACCGAGUGUAGAGGUGAAAUU